GUGAGUCAUCGAAUCUUUGAACGCAAAUUGCACUCUUCGGUAUUCUGAGGAGUAUGCCUGUUUGAGGGUCGCUUAACAAACAUCGAUUUCAUUGCUUUUUUUUUUAGUAAUGUUUAUCGGAUUUGAGCCGUCUUUUUUUUUAUAUUAAAGUGGCUUAAAAUUGAUUUUUCUGGUAUGAUCCAAGCGUAUUUAUGAUCAAUUUUUGGUUAAAGAAACGCAUACGUACCAUCAUUCAUAUGAUGUAAUACGUUUGACUAUUGGAUUAGUUCAUUCGUAUACGAUAUUUUUCAAAUUUUGACC
rnacentral:misc_RNA from 1 species